ACGAACGCUGGCGGCGUGCUUCACCCCUGCCAGUCGAACGGAAAGGCCCUGCUUUUGUGGGGUGCUCGAGUGGCGAACGGGUGAGUAACACGUGAGUAACCUGCCCUUGACUUUGGGAUAACUUCAGGAAACUGGGGCUAAUACCGGAUAGGAGCUCCUGCUGCAUGGUGGGGGUUGGAAAGUUUCGGCGGUUGGGGAUGGACUCGCGGCUUAUCAGCUUGUUGGUGGGGUAGUGGCUUACCAAGGCUUUGACGGGUAGCCGGCCUGAGAGGGUGACCGGCCACAUUGGGACUGAGAUACGGCCCAGACUCCUACGGGAGGCAGCAGUGGGGAAUAUUGCACAAUGGGCGGAAGCCUGAUGCGGCAACGCCGCGUGCGGGAUGACGGCCUUCGGGUUGUAAACCGCUUUCGCCUGUGACGAAGCGUGAGUGACGGUAAUGGGUAAAGAAGCACCGGCUAACUACGUG
rnacentral:rRNA from 1 species